ensembl:ncRNA F55F1.6 ncRNA
AAGCAAAGCGUUCAGAGCAUCUGCCCUUUCAACUUGCGCUCUCAUUUACUGCCGACGUUGAAAAAAAAACGAGCACCGAGGAGUCUUGGAAUUGAGUUUAAACGCUUUCCUGAACGUUUUUUUCUUGCUUAACUUGAUACAUUGUACUCUACAUUUUUCU